ACUCCUACGGGAGGCAGCAGUGGGGAAUAUUGCACAAUGGGCGCAAGCCUGAUGCAGCCAUGCCGCGUGUGUGAAGAAGGCCUUCGGUUGUAAAGCACUUUCAGUCGUGAGGAAGGCGGCGUCGUUAAUAGCGGCGUUGUUUGACGUUAGCGACAGAAGAAGCACCGGCUAACUCCGUGCCAGCAGCCGCGGUAAUACGGAGGGGUGCGAGCGUUAAUCGGAAUUACUGGGGCGUAAAGCGCAUGCAGGUGGUUUGUUAAGUCAGAUGUGAAAGCCCGGGGGCUCAACCUCGGAAUAGCAUUUGAAACUGGCAGACUAGAGUACUGUAGAGGGGGUAGAAUUUCAGGUGUAGCGGUGAAAUGCGUAGAGAUCUGAAGGAAUACCGGUGGCGAAGGCGGCCCCCUGGACAGAUACUGACACUCAGAUGCGAAAGCGUGGGAGCAAACAGGAUUAGAUACCCUGGUAGGACAGUG
rnacentral:rRNA from 1 species